rnacentral:RNase_P_RNA from 1 species
CCAGAGGAUCGGGCGGCCGCGGCCCCGGCAACGGGGGCGAGGAAAGUCCGGGCUCCACGGAAGCACGGUGCCGGGUAACGCCCGGCGGGGGCGACCCCAGGGACAGUGCCACAGAAAACAGACCGCCUGGCCUUCGGGCCGGCAAGGGCGAAACGGUGCGGUAAGAGCGCACCGCGGACCCGGUAACGGGAACGGCACGGCAAACCCCACCGGGAGCAAGACCGAAUAGGGAUGGCAUAUGGCCCGUUUCCGGCCCGCCGUCCGGGUUGGUUGCAUGAGGCGGCGCGCGAGCGUCGCCCUAGAGGAAUGGUCGCCCAUCCGGCUUCGGCCGGUGGACAGAACCCGGCUUACAGAUCCUCUGGCGCG